GCGCGGUUAGCUCAGUGGUAGAGCGCUUCGUUGACAUCGAAGAGGCCAGAAGUCCGAUCCUUCUACCGCGCACAA
rnacentral:tRNA from 1 species